GCGGGGACACUUUUCUCCUGAAGGCGUUAUGGCUACUACUGGAUUAUUGAGUAAAUUUAAGAAUGGUAAGAAUCCAGAAUGGAGCUUUGACAAAACAGAAGUCAUUCAGGUCAAGAGUACAUUCCCAUGGAACCUCUACAGACACCAACUCCUUUCCUUGGAACAUGCUCACAGGCUGGUUUCUUCCAUCAUUGCAAUCAGCUCUAGUUUAUAUUAAAGAAAAAUUUGUAGGCUCACAAGAAUGC
rnacentral:lncRNA from 1 species